GCUGGGCACUUACUAGGUUGCUUUCCAGAAAGGCUGGACCACACUCUUCCCCAGAAAAAAGAAGUUCUGUCCCCUAACAUUCCCAGCUCUUGUCAUUAUUUGCUUUCUGGUAUGUGUCAUUCUAAGGGCUGGAAUGUGGUUUCAGUGUUUUCAGUUUGCCUUUUUCUGGUUACCAGUGGGUUAUCGCCUGGUCAAGCCUUCUGCACAUCGAGAGUCCCUGUCUGUGGUUCAUUUGGAAGAGGUCUUGGACUUACAUCAGCCUUUUGGUUAAUCCAUUGUAAGGCCUUCUUCAGGUCUGUCUGUUGGGUCUAUCCAUGGGAUCUGGAUAGGAAUCCUCGAUUUAGAUGUAGUCAAGACCACUGUUUUAUUUGUUUGUUUUAUGGUUUGUAGUUUUUUUUCUUUGUGAGAUCUCAGAGGCAUCCCAGUGUCCCUCUAGGAGCAGGACAGCUUACCCUCCACACUCAUUCUUCCAUGGCCUUCAAGCAGAUAUGUUGAAAUGUGCUUCAUUUUGGUGUUGCCGUGAAUUGGUGACGUAAUCUCUAAUCUGGAGAUUUCAGAUGACUGUACCAGAAGAUUGCAACCCAAGCAAAUUCCAUAGGUAGUAUUACUCCUUUAGCAGAUACAUUUUUAGCUGGAAGACCACGUGUGGAGGUAGAAAUGCAGCUUAGUUUUUCUCCAUAAAAUGAGCUGGUUUUCCCCACACUGUUGACUAAGCAAUAUAUCCUUUCUCAGACCACCAGGUGUCAUCACCACAUCUGGAACGGGUUUGUCCUUGUGAUGGCUUUGUCAUAUACCAAAUAUAUGGAUCGGCAGGUACCCCUUUACUCCUUCUCAAUUACCAUUUAGGUACUCAUGACCUUGACUUUUCCACAUAUACGUCUCAGAAAGACUUUGUCAAGUUUCCAGAAAGGAAAUCUAGCUGGAAUACUGAGAUUGGCUUGAACGUAUACUAACUUGGGGACGACUGAAAUGUGGACAAUUGUUAAGUUCUCCUAUCUAUGAACAUAGUAUGUUUCUUCAUUUAUUUAGAUCUUCUUUAUGUAUUGUCAUAAAAUUAUAAUAAUUUCUCUGUAAAUAUUGUUGCAUGGGUUUGUUAGGUCAUGUCCUAGACAUAAUUUUUGUUCCUCUGUACACGGCAUCCCAUUUUCUGCGAUGUGUUUUAGCUGGUUAAUCUGGUGCAGAGGAACGCUGCUGACCCCGGUGUGAUCGCCGAGUUGGCCUGUGGGCAUCAGCAGGUUGUAGAGUGCAGUCGUGGCGGUGACCCUGCAUGCUGUGAGAAAGGCUAGGCUGCUGUCCCAUCCAGCGGGGGAGCGUCUGGACAUCAUGGGAGGGGCACCCAGGCAAGCUGAGGCCGCCCCCCACCGCCCCAUGGCAGCAGCUGUCUUACUGCUGUCCUCGCUCCCCAGCCUGGAUGGGGCUGGGGUGGGGGCCAGAGCAGAGUGUCCGGGGAUGACACCCCGGGCCAGGCUCAAACCCUGCAGAGACUUGGAGCCCAGCCCUCCUUUGUUCUCUCCCCAGGAGAAUGUGCAGGAAGCACUGGGGAACAGGGGCUAUUGCUGUCCUCGCCCCGGGCUGGCUCGGCCAGGCUGAACUGGAGGGAUCGUGCUCCACAAUCCUGUCUCCAGGGAGGACCACACUGGGGAACAGCUUGCCCGUCUUGUGGUGAGACAUUAGCAUGUGGCUUUUCACACACGGAGGGAUUCUGAGAGAUCGAGUGACAGUACUGUGGCCAACGUUUAAUCCAGUCAUCUCUGUAAAGGCAAAACCAGAAACCAGAAACCGAAGUAAUGAUGGACCCUUACUGCAGCUGUAAGCCGUGCUCUGCCACAAACACGGACAGCGUGUUAACCGAUGCCUUCCCAGGGCAAGUUUACUUCUGCGUUUACUCACGAACACCUACAACACACGUGUGUCAUUUUGAUUAAGUACUUACGGUAACUAAAGAACAAGAAUCCUGGUGAAUUUCUUGUUACCAGGUUCAGUCUUACGGUUUCACGGAUCAAAACUAGUGUUUCCCUCAGGGCACCUGGGUGGCUCAGUCAGAAGAGUGCACAGCUCUUGAUCUCGGGGCUCAGAGUCGGAGCCCACAUUGGGUGUAAAGAUUACUAAGAAAAAUUAACUUGAAAACAAAUGGCUGGGUGCGGGGGGGGGGGGGGGGGGCUGGGUGGCUCUGUCGGUUGAGCAUCUGACUUUGGCUUAGGUCAUGAUCUGACCGCACGUGAGUUCAAGGCCCGGGCUGGGCUGUCAGGCGCAGAGCCUGCUUCGGACCCUCUGUCUCCUCUCUGCUCCCUCCCCCCACUCUCUCUCAAAAGUUAAUAACCAUUAAAAAAAAAACCCCACAAAUGGCUGCCUCAAUACACAUAUUAGGUCUGGAGAAGAAGCAGAGAGUGAGCAAGAGGCCAGGUAGGAACCAACAAAACAGCACAGGGUCAUUCUACCCCACACUGACUAUGGGCUGGCUGGGAGCUCUGUUCCGGUCUGUCCCCUCAUUCUGGGGACUAGCAGCCACCGUCCCAGGGGUACAGCUUCACACCUUUGUCAUUUCUGCUCAUUCUUCAGGAGCCAAAGCUCAUGCCUGGGGCAUCUGUGGGGUGUGGGUGGCUGGCACACACACCGCGUGCCCCGGAGAAGACGGUCUGUGAUGCCCUCAACGUUCAACCCAGUACAUUUUGCAAUGGAUAUACUUGGGCGGGCAAAGUUCUACGGGAAGGGGGAAUAAGGCAGAGCAUCCAGCCACAAAGGGUCAACUUGCUGGGUCCUUUUUAAGUGGACCGGGGCACUUACAACGUGCUGGGAACCAGUAGUCUUAAACAAGAGAAACGGUAGGCAACUUAAAGUAAGUGACAGUACACGGCUUCCAAAUUUCCUUUCCAGGAUCCCCAAGCACAGAACUUAAGCUCAGUGUACCUGCCUGCAGGAACCUCUUCGCUCAGUUUCCCCAGGAGUCCUCGCUGCUGUAGGUGGCCUGGCCUCCUGUAGGCGGGGACUCUGUCAAGGGCAGACCCCGUGCACUUUAUCCUGUGCUCAGCAGAGCCUCCGGCUUGGUCACCGGACCUGGCCUCCCACCCCGUCUCCUGCCUGCUCCAGGCCCAGCGAAGCUGCACUCAGUGCCCUCCUGCCCAGGUGCACCGAGUCCUCUGCAGAAUGACCCCACCUGGUCUCCCACCACCCCCGAUAACCCCUCUGGACCGUUGCUGAAGAGCAUCCUGGCCUGGGACACCCGCCCUGCGCGACGCCAGCCCAGCUCCUGGCUGCCUGCAGGACCCUGAUUGCUCUGGCGCCUGCCUCUCCACAGUACAAGCCCCGCACCUGUGGCCUCUUGCAAGCGUGGACAUCCAGUCACUGCAGAGCCGGGCAGGGCUGAGCAGGUGUCGCGUCUUCUAAAGAGCUCCCUGCAGUUACGGCUCGAGAGGGCUCCGGAACAUCUCCGUCCUGCCAGUGGUCGCCUGUGCUACCGACCAGCCUCCGCCGCUUUCGACCGGAAGGACAUGAACCUCAGGUGGUGUCACACACACCGUCACCCCCACUCAAAACAGGAAUACCUACGGUGGAGAUGAUGAUGAUCAAAUAUUCUUGCCCUUGAAACUCCUCUACCGAUCCAACCUUUAUGUCCAUCAGAUCAACAUUUCGCAAAAGAAUUUUGAUUUUUUCCACCUUUGAAGCAGACAAAAAAAGGACAGAACUUUACAAAUCUGACCAUUUCUUUACAUAUUUAAGCACAAGGCAGAUAUUAACCAACAUGCACUGUUGCUUAUCACUUCCAAAUCGUAUUUCAUCUAAGUUGAUUAGGACACAAAUUCUGAUUUCAGACACAGUGCACUGGGGAAAGGGAGAGGGGGCAGAGUGUCUGGAGUGACGUCUCCCUCUCCCCACAGGUGCACAUGCCUGCUGCUGGGCGGGCCUGGCCAUCUCAGUGGGGACGGUGCUGGGACCCACAGCCGGGCAGGCUCCAGAGCGCCACACCCCAGGGGCCUGAGGGGCUGGACAGAGGCCCGGAAGCAGGCUCUGCACAACAGCAGCCGGAAGGCAGGGGCAGACGUCUUUGUGAAAGAGCCAGCUCCUGGGGGAAUGGGAACGGCUGUCACAGAAGCAGGAUGCCGGGUUCUGGACUGUGUGUCUAGAGACCAAGGUCUCCAAUGGGUGCCGGUGAAGUAAAAACCAGUUUGCAACCUUGGAGAAAAGUGCGCAGAAGACGAAAGCUCAGUGCUAGGGGGAAGCUUGACUGUCCCCCAGGAGGACGCGGAUGGUGGCCCACUGCCCGCUCCCACUGCCAGGUGCUGUGAAGGGGGCUGUGAACAAGGAAGGAGCAGAGCAGGUGUCGGGAUACGGCACGUGUGAGGCAGAAAGUACGCCCGUGCUCCUGCAGACCUCACACCCCGGUGGGCAGACUAACUUCAGUCACGGUCACGUCCGCCACGGCCGCAGCAAGGGCCCCGGCGGAGAAGGGCUGCUUGGGGGCGGCCCGCGAUUUGCUGACAGGAGUGGAUGGGCGGUGAUGCACGUGCAGGAAUUGCCAGGCAAAGAGCAGGGUGCUUGGCGAGGGUGGGGAUGCGGGCCCUGCCGGGGAACCACAGGGCGUGCC